rnacentral:rRNA from 1 species
UACAGAGGUCUCAAGCGUUGUUCGGAUUCAUUGGGCGUAAAGGGUGCGUAGGUGGCGUCGUAAGUCGGGUGUGAAAUUUCGGAGCUUAACUCCGAAACUGCAUUCGAUACUGCGGUGCUUGAGGACUGGAGAGGAGACUGGAAUUUACGGUGUAGCGGUGAAAUGCGUAGAUAUCGUAAGGAAGACCAGUGGCGAAGGCGGGUCUCUGGGACGUGACUGACGCUGAGACGCGAAAGCGUGGGGAGCAAACAGG